AAUUUUUUGUAUUAUGUAUUUGUGUGAAAAAAAUUACAAUACAUCAGAAAAUAUGUGUUUGUCACCUAUACAUUUCCAUAAAAAAUUAUAUAAAUUUUAUGUGAAUUUAAAACUAGAACUGUGAGUCUCCUCUAGCCAAAAAUAUUCGGUCGUCUUCCCUUCUAUCUGUUGAAAAGGAAAUAUUCCUUUAUAUACCUCAUCAGGUAGUGUUCCCACAGAUUAUCUCCCCUCUAAUAUGUUGACCAGGGAUUGUAUUAUGUUAUGCACAUAUUUUGGUAGUGUCAAGAAGUUUUUAAGUUUUACCCAACAUAGAUUACCUGGUCAAAGGGGGAUAACUUUACUUCAUUUCCUCCAUUAUGUAAUGUAUGUAUGCUACUUUAUCCAGUAAUCCUGUGGAGAUAAGCAUUUUUUGUUCAUUUUUUCAUUUUCUUUGACAAUAACAUGAGAAUAUUUAUAGCAAUUUCAUAUUGAAAUUAUUAUCAUCCAAUUUCAAAGAUUUGGUUUAAUUUAAUUUUCCUAUUCUUUUUAUGAAGAGUUAAAUCUUCUAUUAUGAGAUUAAAGUCCAAUAGUUACAGUCAUGACAGUCUAAAUUCUCCUCAACUAAGGCACAUCUAUGUUAAAGGCUGAAAGCACUAUGUAUUAGUGUUUUUUUUAUAAAAGCUGACACAAUAUGAGUUUGUGACAUUGUUUGUUAUUUCCAUGAUUUUGAAAUGAUUUUAAGUGGUAAAUGCCUAUUAUAUUUAAGACAACCUGCUGUAGUGUUUGUUUUAUAUUAUGUUGUUAAAGUGCUGUAUACUUAUGACGACUAAUAUGAGGUCAGAAAUGUCAACCACUAUAUAGAUAUAUGGGAGUCUAAAAUCAAGACACCAGAAGGAGCCGGGACAAAAUAACACAUCCACACUUUCAACUUUCACCAUCUUUCAAUUAUGACAUUGAUACAUAUUUUACAUGAUACAUAGUUCAGAACACCUUGUUUUUAAACUAAUUAAUUUAUUAUAAUUGGAUUAAAAUGAUUGGUAAUAAUUAGGGUUUUGAAGUAGAAAUAGUACAAAACCUUAGUGAUGAAUACAACUUUAAAAAAGAUAUGGUAAAACCUCUUCUCAGACAUGUUUCUCCAAUUUUAAAGGUUGACACCAGGGGCAAUUAUUUGUAAGAAUGUUUUGUACUGACAAGGGUCGGUACUAUUUAUUUGUUGUUACAUAUAGACCAAUUUCUGUUUACAUUCUGUUGUUUAUUAUUGUUUCACUUUGUUUCAACUUAGUGAAAUGUCA
rnacentral:lncRNA from 1 species